rnacentral:rRNA from 1 species
UGGUGGCGAGUGGCGAACGGGUGAGUAAUAUAUCGGAACGUGCCCAGUAGCGGGGGAUAACUACGCGAAAGCGUGGCUAAUACCGCAUACGCCCUAAGGGGGAAAGCGGGGGAUCUUAGGACCUCGCACUAUUGGAGCGGCCGAUAUCGGAUUAGCUAGUUGGUGAGGUAAUGGCUCACCAAGGCGACGAUCCGUAGCUGGUUUGAGAGGACGACCAGCCACACUGGGACUGAGACACGGCCCAGACUCC